GCUGGGCAUGGUGGCAUGCACCUAUAGUACCAGCUACUCAGGAGCCUGAAGUGGGAGGAUCACUCGAGCCUAGGAUUUCUGGGCUGUUGGUGUGCUAUGCUAAUCAGGCGUCUGCACUAAGUUUGACAUCUAUAUGGUGACCUCCCAGGAGCAAGGGAAACAAGGUUGCCUAAGGAGGGAUGAAUUGGCCCAGGUUGGAAACGAGCAGGGCAGCACUCCCUUGCUGAUCAGCAGUAGGGUUGUGCCUGUGAAUAGCCAGUGCACUCUAGCUUGGGCAAUAACAGCGAGACCCUGUCUCUG
rfam:Chlorocebus sabaeus isolate 1994-021 chromosome 29, whole genome shotgun sequence.